AUUGAAUGCUGGCGGCAGGCCUAACACAUGCAAGUCGAACGAGUGGCGGACGGGUGAGUAAUGUCUGGGAAACUGCCUGAUGGAGGGGGAUAACUACUGGAAACGGGAGCUAAUACCGCAUACCAUCAGAUGUGCCCAGAUGGGAUUAGCUAGUAGGUGGGGUAACGGCUCACCUAGGCGACGAUCCCUAGCUGGUCUGAGAGGAUGACCAGCCACACUGGAACUGAGACAAGGUCCAGACGCGUACGGGAGGCAGCAGUGGGGAAUAUUGCACAAUGGGCGAAAGCCUGAUGCAGCCAUGCCGCGUGUGUGAAGAAGGCCUUCGGGUGGUAAAGCACUUUCAGCGGGGAGGCGUUACCCGCAGAAGAAGCACCGGCUAACUCCGUGCCAGCCGCCGCGGUAAUAC
rnacentral:rRNA from 1 species